rnacentral:lncRNA from 1 species
UCGAGCUUGAGGAAGAGGCCCCAUUCAUCUCCGUACCCCAGGCCCUGGUACACAGCAGGCAGAUAAACCUGCCAGUAAUUUCAGCAAAUGAAACGUGGAACACGUCAAGGCCAGAGGAUGGAAAAGGCUCCAGUUUUGAUAAAAGGAGGCCUGCUUGGCUUGGAAUCCUCUCUCCUGCUGGUUGGGAGAUGCAAAGAUGUUUCCAGAGAGGGGCUGAUGAAUUGAGGGGAAAGAAAUGAGCCCAGUAUGAGUCCCCUUUCAGGGCUGAGCGGGUAUAAAACCAAACAACUUGGAACCGCUCCAAGAGAGGGGAUUAAAGCAACAUGUUAUUCUGAGUGAUUGCUUAAUUUAUUGAGCUGCGGCUGGAUCUGUAAUGAAAUACAGCCCUUGUAACUGAUAACCUCCUGCUGCCAUUGAACUU